UGAAGGCUAGUGUAAUUUAUAUGCACAUAUAAAUUUGAGUUAUAUAGUGGAAAUACAAUCCCACCUUCAU
rnacentral:tRNA from 1 species